rnacentral:rRNA from 1 species
CAUGGGGUGCAAACGUUGCUCGGAAUUAUUGGGCGUAAAGCGCGCGUAGGCGGUUGCUUAAGUCGGAUGUGAAAGCCCUCGGCUUAACCGGGGAAGUGCACCCGAAACUGAGCAGCUUGAGUACGAAAGAGGGUCGCGGAAUUCCCGGUGUAGAGGUGAAAUUCGUAGAUAUCGGGAGGAACACCGGUGGCGAAGGCGGCGACCUGGGUCGAGACUGACGCUGAGGCGCGAAAGCGUGGGGAGCAAACAGGAUUAGAUACCCUGGUAGUCCACGCCGUAAACGAUGGGUGCUAGAUGUUUCUGGUAUUGACCCCGGAGGCGUCGUAGCUAACGCGUUAAGCACCCCGCCUGGGGAGUACGGCCGCAAGGCUA